UACCUGCAGCUCGAGUGGUAACCGUUAUUAUUGGGCCUAAAGCGUCCGUAGCCGGUUUGGUAAAUAUCUGGGUAAAUCGUGAGGCUUAACUUCACGAAUUUCGGAUAGACUGCCAGACUUGGGAUCGGGGGGAGGUCAGAGGUACUCCAGGGGUAGCGGUGAAAUGUUGUAAUCCUUGGAGGACCACCGGUAGCGAAGGCGUCUGACUAGAACGAGUCCGACGGUGAGGGACGAAGCCCUGGGGCGCAAACCGGAUUAGAUACCCGGGUAGUCCAGGGUGUAAACGAUGUGGGCUUUGUAUUGGAGGUCCCACGUGGGCGUCCAGUGCAGAAGAGAAGUUGUUAAGCCCACCGCCUGGGAAGUACGGUCGCAAGGCUGAGACUUAAAGGAAUUGGCGGGGGAGCACAGCAACGGGAGGAGCGUGCGGUUU
rnacentral:rRNA from 1 species